AGAGACCUCCUUUCUACUUGAGUCCAGAAAGAGCCAGGCUUUGUGUUGGUCUACAUAGUACCGAGAAGGAAAGAGACUCUACUACCACUUUUCAUUGUUGAAACUGUCCAUUCUCAGCUCCCCUGGAAAGGGCCCUCACACUCCUGCCGUAGACACGAAAAAGGUCCUGGCUAAUGCUGGGAAAACACCAAGCUGAAGAAGACAUGUUUCCUGCCCUCCAGCAAAGAGAUAGAGUCCAAGCAAAUAACUACAACAGAUGUGAACGCGGAAGCACAAAGGAAGAAGCUAAUGCUUCCUGGGAGAGGUGACAUUUCUUCUGGGUUUCGAUACUUCUUCUAGUCCUCUCACAUCUUAAAUCUCCAUUCUCAGUAUUCUCAGUGGAGCAUUUUAUUCUGCUUCUAUGAUUUGGGGCAAAAAGAAGAGAAUCUAUUUGAUAAAGUACUUCUAGAAAGACUGGCAGAAAAGACUCUGAAAGACUUUCUCAGGAGUAAGAAACAACACAACUUUCUUAAUAUUCCUGUGCUGUUUUCACAUGCAAAAAAUACUUUCCCCCUCCUACCUCAUCGGUAGGGCAAUGGACAAAAUGGCUUUUCUUAUAGUAAAUAGCAUGUUCCAUGUAAGACGAGGCCAUGAUCUCCCUUUUUUGCACUUCAAAAUAUUUUAAAAUUGCUGGAUUAUUUUUUCCUCUCCAUUCUUCCUUCUGUGGCUUGACAAUUACUAAAGCUGGUAUGAUUGAUAACACGACUCAAGUUAGAGGAAGUCUUUUUUUUCUUGAGAUGGAGUCUGGCUCUGUCUCCCAGGUUGGAGUGCAGCGACUGCGAACUCGGCUCACUGCAAACUAGAGGAGGCCUUUUUUUUUUUAAAUCAAAGAGCCUCUUUUAAAAUUAUAACCCAUUGGGAAUAUGCUGUGG
rnacentral:lncRNA from 1 species